rnacentral:rRNA from 1 species
AUACGUAGGUGGCAAGCGUUAUCCGGAUUUACUGGGUGUAAAGGGCGCGUAGGCGGGGACGCAAGUCAGAUGUGAAAUCUCCGGGCUUAACCCGGAAACUGCAUUUGAAACUGUGUCUCUUGAGUGUCGGAGAGGUAGAUGGAAUUCCUAGUGUAGCGGUGAAAUGCGUAGAUAUUAGGAGGAACACCAGUGGCGAAGGCGAUCUACUGGACGAUAACUGACGCUGAGGCGCGAAAGCGUGGGGAGCAAACAGGAUUAGAUACCCUGGUAGUCCACGCUGUAAACGAUGAAUACUAGGUGUGGGGGGACUGACCCCCUCCGUGCCGCAGUUAACACAAUAAGUAUUCCACCUGGGGAGUACGACCGCAAGGUUGAA